GAGAAGGAAUAAGUGAAGCUGCCAGCAUGAUCUAACCAGGGUUAAACUUCGAAUUUAAAAGUUCAGAAGAGACGAUGGGAGAAUACUAACCCUAGUUAGGUCAUGCUCGGACAGCCUCACUCAUUCCUCUA
rnacentral:pre_miRNA from 1 species